rnacentral:rRNA from 1 species
UGACUCCUACGGGACGCAGCAGUUAGGAAUAUUCGUCAAUGGGGGAAACCCUGAACGAGCAAUGCCGCGUGAACGAUGAAGGCCCUCCGGAUUGUAACGUUCUGUUGUUUGGAAAGAAUCUCGCGUGUAGGAAAUGACACGUGACUGACGGUACCAUUCAAGAAAGCCACGGCUAACUACGUGCCAGCAGCCGCGGUAAUACGUAGGUGGCGAGCGUUAUCCGGAUUUAUUGGGCGUAAAGCGUCCGCAGCCGGUUUAUUAAGUCUAAGAUCAAAGCCCGAAGCUUAACUUCGGUUCGUUUUAGA